AAUGGUGGCAACACUGAUCCAGCCAUGCCGCGUGCAGGAUGACGGCCCUAUGGGUUGUAAACUGCUUUUAUUCGGGAAUAAACCUCUGUACGUGUACGGAGCUGAAGGUACCGAAUGAAUAAGCAUCGGCUAACUUCGUGCCAGCAGCCGCGGUAAUACGAAGGAUGCAAGCGUUAUCCGGAUUUAUUGGGUUUAAAGGGUGCGUAGGCGGGUUUGUAAGUCAGAGGUGAAAGCCCAUCGCUCAACGAUGGAACUGCCUUUGAUACUAUAGAUCUUGAGUAUGGUUGACGUUGGCGGAAUGUGCAGUGUAGCGGUGAAAUGCUUAGAUAUUGCACAGAACACCGAUUGCGAAGGCAGCUAACGAAGUCAUUACUGACGCUGAUGCACGAAAGCGUGGGGAGCAAA
rnacentral:rRNA from 1 species